rnacentral:lncRNA from 1 species
CUCACACUCUCCAUUUUUCUCGCACAGCCGUGACUUGUUUCUCUGCUUCUUUAGCUUCUCGUGUAGUUAAAUGAGAAGAAGAGCUACACUUUUAUAGAAACAAAACCAUUAGCUCCAAGUAGCAGAAAAGCCAUAGGAAAAAUUGCUAAAACUUUCUCCACAACCCCAAUAAACACGGUCCCCAAGUAGCUUUUUUUUCCUAUAACUGUAGUGUCCAGGGCUAGCUUACACACCACUCGACUAAUUCGACAAGGUAUAUAUAACCUGCUACCUCCCACCAACACAAAUAUCAAGUAACUCUGUCCAAUCUUAAAGAAAGUAAUUUGAUUUAGUAUAUCCAAUUUCUACCAAAUAUGGUAUCCAUACCAACUUACACACACCUCGACUAAUUCCACAACUACCUACCUGCUACCUCCCACCAGCACAAGUAUCAAGUCAUUUGAUUUGGUAUAGCCAAUUUCUACCAAACGUGGUAUCCAAACAACUUACACACCUUGACUAAUUCUACAGGUACAUGCUACCUCCCACCAGCACAAGUACCGAGUAAUUUGAUUUGGUAUAGCCAAUUUUUACCAAACAUGGUAUCCAAACAACUUACACACCUUGACUAAUUCUACAGGUACAUGCUACCUCCCACCAGCACAAGUACCGAGUAAUUUGAUUUGGUAUAGCCAAUUUUUACCAAACAUGGUAUCCAAACAACUUACACACACCUCGACUAAUUCUACAG